ACUAGGUCUCUCUGAGGGUCGGAAUAACUUGUCAUUCCAGGAUCCAAAUAGAGGAGUCCCAAGCUAGAAAGCAGGAGACUUGCUGCAGCCAUGCCUAACUGCCUGCCACCCCCACGUGCUGUUCUACGCCCUCACCUGUCAGAAGAGAUGGCAGGUCCUUUGGAGGAAGCCUUCCUACAGAAUGCUCUUUUCUUCUUUUAACAAAUAGUUAUCGAGCAUCGACUAAUAAUGCCUCCUGCCUGACAGCAGUAGAGUGCCUAUUAUAUGCCAGGCCUGUGGCCAUGGUAUGGAUGGGCAUAAUCCUAGUUGGAGAAGGAGGAGCAGAUACACAGAGUGGACAUCGGGAACGACGGCUCGGCCUUCGUGGAGGUGCUGGUGGGCAGGUCGGCCGGAGGGGCCGGGGAGCAAGACUAUGAGGUCCUUCUGGUUACCUCGUCUUUCAUGUCCCCUUCUGAGAGCCGCAGUGGCUCAAACCCCAACCAUGUUCGCAUUUUUGGGCCUGACAAGUUGGUCCGGGGAGCAGCUGAGAAGCGCUGGGACCGCGUCAAAAUUGUUUGCAGCCAGCCCUACAGCAAGGACUCCCCCUAUGGCCUGAGUUUUGUACGGUUUUACAGCCCCCCAGACAAAGACGAAGCAGAGGCCUCCCCCCAGAAGGUGACCAAGCUCGGCCAGUUCCGUGUGAAGGAGGAGGAUGAAGGUGGCAGCUCCCUGAGACCGGGGGCCCUCUUUUUCAACUGGAUCAAUAAGACAUCCACUGCCACAGCCAGUGACCCAGCAGGACCCAGCUAUGCAGCAGCCACACUGCAGGCGUCUAGUGCCGUCUCCUCAGCCUCUCCGGCCUCCAGGGCAGUAGGCGGCACCUCCAAGCCUCAGGAGUCCCCCAAGGGGAAGAGGAGGUUGGAUUUGAACCAAGAAGAAAGGAAGACCCCCAGCAAAGCGUUAGCCCAGCCCUCACCACCUCCCCCUAAGAGACCCAAAAUGCCGGCACCCUCCCGUGCCCCAGGCCCCGCCUCACUCCCUGCCCCAGCCCAGGGGGCAGUGACAGGGAAGCCCCGAGGAGAAGCCGCUGCCCCCAGGACACCCCGAGGAGAAGCCACUGCGCCCAGGGCACCCCGAGGAGAAGCCGCUGCACCCAGGGCACCCCGAGCCGGCCCGCAGGAGCUGGGGAAGGUCCUCGAGGGUGUGGUGGUGGUGCUGAGUGGCUUCCAGAACCCCUUCCGCUCAGAGCUCCGGGACAAGGCCCUGGGGCUGGGGGCCAAGUAUCGGCCCGACUGGACUCCGGACAGCACCCACCUCAUCUGCGCCUUUGCCAACACCCCCAAGUACAGCCAGGUUCUAGGCCUCGGAGGCCGAAUCGUGCGUAAGGAGUGGGUGCUGGACUGUCACCGCAUGCGUCGGCGGCUGCCCUCCCGGAGGUACCUCAUGGCAGGGCCUGGCUCCAGCAGCGAGGACGAGGGGGCCCCUCACAGCAGCAGCGGGGACGAAGCCCCCAAACUUCCCCGAAAGCGCCCCCAGACCAAAACCAAGCCCCCUCAGGCAGCAGGACCCAGCUCACCCCAGAGACCCCCGACCCCAGAAGGGAUCAAACCAACCUCACCAGGGCCCCAGGAAGAUAUUGACACCGAGGGGGAGAAGUCAGAAGGACAGGACAACGGGGCAGAAGAUUCUGGGGACACUGAUGAUGAGCUGAGAAGGGUGGCCGAGCAUAAGGAACAAAGGCCACCCACUGGCCAGGGAGAGAAUGGUGAGGACCCGUACGCUGGAUCCACAGAUGAGAACACGGACAACGAGGGGCCCCCAGAGCCUCCCGACCUGCCGGUCCCUGAGCUCCCGGACUUCUUCCAGGGCAAACACUUCUUCCUGUACGGGGAGUUCCCGGGGGACGAGCGGCGGAGGCUCAGCCGCUACGUCACAGCCUUCAAUGGGGAGCUUGAGGACUAUAUGAGUGACCGGGUCCAGUUCGUGAUCACAGCACAGGAGUGGGACCCCAGUUUUGAAGAGGCCCUGAUGGACAACCCCUCCCUGGUGUUCGUCCGCCCGCGAUGGAUCUACAGCUGCAACGAGAAGCAGAGGUUACUUCCUUACCAGCUCUACGGGGUGGUGCCCCAGGCCUGAAGGACGUGCUCGUGCGCGUGUGCGUGUGCGUGUACACAUACACACGUGUGCGCGCACACACGAGUUUAAUAAAGACUCUUGUGAUGACAUGGAGCCCACCUGGAUCAUCUGCGAUCAUCUCCCUCUUAUAAGGUCAGCUGAUUAACGACCUUAAUUCCUUCUGCUACCUGGAUUCUUCUUUGCCAUGUAACCUAUUCCUAGAUUCCAGGGAUUAGGAUGUGGCAUCUUUGAGAGGCCAUUCUGCCUAUCACACCCACUGUGAUUGAGACACUGGGGCUGCAGUGUUAAAAAACACACAGACCCCCACUCCCGUGAGGCCGACAUUCUGCUGGGGGAGAGACGGUGGGUGUGUACUGCAGCGGUCAGUGCUGAGAGAGCAGAUGAAGCGGGGCGGCGUUACUCAGUGAUGACAGCGGUCGGCAGGGAGGGGGUGCUUUAGGUAGGGUCAUGGGGGAAGGCGUCUCCGAGGACUUACUCUGCAAGGACUGGGUGGAAGGCGGUGUCUCUGGAAACUGGUCCAGGCAGAGGAAAAGCAAGUGCAAAGGCCCUCAGGCAGGAUGCGAGGAGCAGCAGGGCGUCAGGGUGUCGAGAGACCCAGGAUCCACCCCGACUUAGCACUGCCUCAUUAUUUGGUUGUAGACCAGUCCCUUCUCAUGGCCUCAGUUUCCCCAUCUGUGUGCAAGGUAAGGUGGGACCUGAUUAACACCUCUCAAAUGAGUUUGUGCUGGCGAAGCGUUGAUAGCUUUGGUGUUCGCUUUGGAGGAAAUCUCUCCACAUAGCUCUGUCUGUGAACGUGGACACGAGUCGUGCUGCCAGGUUUGGAGGAGACUCGAUUCCUUACCCACCCAGCCCUCCCUCAGGAUCUUGCCAUGUGGCCUGCAGCCUGCUCAUUUCCAUGUCCCUGCUUGGUUCUACCCCGUAUGCUGGAGAUUCUACAAACCAUCUCAAUCCGUCCUCCACACCUUUCAGAUCUCAGCUCAGACAUUACGUCAUCAAGAAGGCCUUUCCUAUAACCUCUGUGAUAGUACAUGUUCUGGAGGACAGCAGUCCAAAAUCAGCCUCCGUGGGCCAAAAUCAUGGUGUCGGCAGGCCUGGGCUCCUUCUGGAGGCUCUCAGGGAGAAUCCUUGACUUUUCCAGCCUCGAGAAGCUGCUGAAUGCCUUGCCUCAUGGCCCUGCAUCACUCCAGUCCCUGCUUCCAUUGUCACAUCUUCUCUGACACGUCAGUUUUCCUCUUUUCCAUAUAAGGACCCGUGUGAUUUCACUGGGCCCAUGGAAUAAUCAGGAAGACCUCCAUAUCUCAAGAUAAAAUCCAUAAUCACAUUUGCAAAGUCCCUUCUGUCAUGCGUGAGCUAACAUACCAGCUUCUGGGGAUUAGGACGUGGACAUCUUUGAAGGACCAUUAUUCCGCCUACCAUUUAAUUUUUUUCCAUCUCUCUCAGCUCACUUACAGAUUAGCCUGUCCUUUCUCCACUCAUCUACCGCAGGGGUUGCAAACUACAGUCCGUGGGCAACAUCCAGCCCACCUACUUUUGUAAAUAAAGUUUUAUUGGAACAGUCACACAA